AGACUAGUAGUAUACAAUAUGAUUCUGAUUUAUUAGGGAACAAAAAUUAAGGUUGAGCAAGUUUUGCAAGAAUAACUAAAUCCAAAAUCUUAACAUCAAGAGUGUCGUCUACCUUCACAAUUCCAUCAGUGCCGUCUACACCGAUCAACUUGCCAGUGGCACCACGUAAUGCACCACCCAUUAUCUUGAUCUUGUCUGACUUUCUAGGAACAAUCACUUCUACUUCGCUAGAAGGGGCUGUUACCGUUUCACCAUUUCCACUUGACCCAAGCCCUAUCCUACACGAGCCAUCCGGAAGCACCUCACGGAUUACUCCCAUGAUGGGAUCAUCUCCUGACCUCCGGUAAUUGACCAAUAUGUCUGGCAUGUACCAUGGUCCUUCGGUAUCACCACCUAUAACAGGAGACAUCAUAUCCAGGCCACCUGUGCCUGGUGUCAUUGGUUGCCCGCCA
rnacentral:misc_RNA from 1 species